ACUAUGGAACUGAUAAGCAAAAAGGCCAACUUCUGAACGAAGGGCAGAUAAUGUGUCUUGACACCUGCCUCAAGGCUAGAGUUCGACAUAAAUACAUCCGCUGAGUGUAGCAGACGAUACCGACACAUUGAUCUGGUCCCCAGAUUUCAAGUCAAAAUGAAGGUGAUUCUCUUGUUAGUUCUGCUGGCAUCAUGUUACUCAUUUCAUGAUGCUGCUCCGUGUCUUCACGGCCCUGUCUGUGCAAACCAUGAAGUGGUUGCUAGGGAGAAUGGACAAACAUAUUGCUGUCAGAGCGGCUAUAAAACCAUAGUGACCAAGCUUCACUCUGUGGACGGAUUUAUCACUGUAGAGUGUACAUGUCAUGUAUAGCACAGUUAUAAAGAAGACAACUUAUAAAAUGGAUUCUUAUUGGAAAGCACUUGGAUCAACGGGGUUUAAACGCUAUAGCAAUGUCACGCAUGCGCAGUUAUUGAAAUAAAUUUGAAACUUAAAAGCGUUGCCAGAUUAGAA